AGUUUAGGUUUAUGCCUAGCCUAGGCAGGAAAUAAUAAAAUAUAUAAGUUUAAAGAAGUUAGAAUAAAAGCGCGAGAUGAAAGUGAGAUGUAAACUGAGCUCAAAUAUCACCGCGUAUAAUUACGUUUUAACUUCAGUUUCGUACGCGUCCGGAAAUAAUAGCGAAAAAAAUUUAAAAACUGACUACAAUUCCAAAGUCAACGUUUUU